rnacentral:rRNA from 2 species
CUGUCUUUUUUUAAAUAAUUUUAAUUUAAUUUUUAAGUUAAAAAGCUUAAAUUUUUUUAAAGGACGAGAAGACCCUAUAGAGUUUUAUAAUAUUUAAUUUUUUAAAUUUUAAAUUAAUUUUUAAUUUAUAAAUAUUAUUUUAUUGGGGUGAUAGGAAAAUUUAAUAAACUUUUUUAAUUUAUUUACAUUUAUUUAUGAAAUUUUGAUCUUAAAUUUUAGAUUAUUAGAUUAAAUUACCUUAGGGA